rnacentral:sRNA from 1 species
GCUUAGCCCUGAUUGAAACGACAUCCUUUUUUAUUUUUCUUAAAAAAGAUAUAGUGGAAAGCAGGAAAUAGC